rnacentral:rRNA from 1 species
GCCAGCAACCAUAUCGCCAUGGCAGCCCCACUGAAACUCAGCAGGUGUGAGCCUGGUCAGUACCUGGAUGGGUGACCUCCUGGGAAAAACUAAGGUUGCUGCUGGAA